AUUCCAGCUCCAAUAGCGUAUAUUAAAGUUGUUGCAGUUAAAAAGCUCGUAGUUGGAUGUUGGGUUCUAGUUAUGGUCGGUCUCUUCUAGAGUACUGUCAUGCUGGCCCUUUUUCUCGAGGCAUAUAGGUGCACUUUACCGUGUGUUUAUAUUGUUCGGGACUUUUACCGUGAGAAAAUUAGAGUGUUCGUAGCAGGCUAGUGCUUGAAUAUUACAGCAUGGAAUAAUGGAAUAGGAUCAUGAUCUUAUUUAGUUGGUUUCUAAGAUUAAGAUAAUGAUUAAUAGGGAUAGUUGGGGGCAUUAAUAUUUAGUUGUCAGAGGUGAAAUUCUUAGAUUUACAAAAGAUUAACUUCUGCGAAAGCAUUUGCCAAGGAUGUUUUCAUUA
rnacentral:rRNA from 1 species